UACCAGCACCCCGAGUGGUCGGGACGUUUUAUUGGGCCUAAAGCAUCCGUAGCCGGUUCUACAAGUCUUCCGUUAAAUCCACCUGCUUAACAGAUGGGCUGCGGAAGAUACUAUAGAGCUAGGAGGCGGGAGAGGCAAGCGGUACUCGAUGGGUAGGGAUAAAAUCCGUUGAUCCAUUGAAGACCACCAGUGGCGAAGGCGGCUUGCCAGAACGCGCUCGACGGUGAGGGAUGAAAGCUGGGGGAGCAAACCGG
rnacentral:rRNA from 1 species